GGGGGGGGGGGGGGGGGGGGUGGGGGGGGCGAGGGGGGGGGACAGGGGGGGAGGGGGCGGGUCUGGCGGUAGCGGCGGGCGGGGGAGUAACACGGGGAUAACCUACCUAUAAGACUGGGGUAACUUCGGGAAACCGGAGCUACUACCGGAUAAUAUAUUGAACCGCAUGGUUCCAUAGUGAAAGACGGUUUUGCUGUCACUUAUAGAUGGAUCCGCGCCGCAUUAGCUAGUUGGUAAGGUAACGGCUUACCAAGGCGACGAUGCGUAGCCGACCUGAGAGGGUGAUCGGCCACACUGGAACUGAGACACGGUCCAGACUCCUACGGGAGGCAGCAGUAGGGAAUCUUCCGCAAUGGGCGAAAGCCUGACGGAGCAACGCCGCGUGAGUGAUGAAGGUCUUCGGAUCGUAAAACUCUGUUAUUAGGGAAGAACAAAUGUGUAAGUAACUAUGCACGUCUUGACGGUACCUAAUCAGAAAGCCACGGCUAACUACGUG
rnacentral:rRNA from 1 species